AUUCACCCUCCUGUUCUCCCAGUCCUUGUUGAGGUCUCAAGAGCAAGGAGCAGUUCCUAGGAAGCUCAUGGGAACAGUGGAGUGCACAGAGCCUCCUGAGUUGCUGGGAUUUCAGGAAUGCACCAUCACAACUGGCUCACUCUUCUAAAAAUUAUAAAUACCGUCACAUCUAUUCUUUCUCACGUCAGCCCAUCCAAUUGCAAGAAUUUGAUUCUGGGAACAUAUAGAUGCAAGUGAACAGAGUCAAGGGAAAGUUCUUUAUCAGCAGAAGAACUCUUUUAUUCAAUGUGUUUCCUUACAUGAGUGGGGACAAUAAGGGGAAAGAAUGAGAAGAAAUAAAAGGCCAGUUAUUUAGAUCACUUUCAAUGAAUCACCCUCAGUGUCAUUACCCAUCUCUAGUCUGGAAAACCUUGAGUUUUUCCAUGCCAAGAAAAACAGAGGGCAGGAAGAAACAAAUUAUGACCCUGUUUGUGUUUUGUGUCUUAACUCCUUGAUUUAUAGGACUUGAUUCAGUGAUUAUGGAUGAAAGAAAAUAUUUCAGUGUCCCAAACCUAACCUGAACUUAACCGGGGUUGGGUCUCACGUCCACAGCUCAAAGUUAGCACAAAGUUAAAAUGCUCUGGAAAUAAAGCAGUGGGGCUGCCUGUAGGCAUUUUCAACCCAGUAGCAAGGUCAAAUUCCUUUCCCACACUCCAAUAUUAAAAAAAAAAAAAAAAAAAAAUCUCUUUAGAAAUUUCACCCUUUCCCUUCAUUCCAGGACUGGUCAUUUAUCUACUCAAUGGAUGGUUAUUAAGUACCUACUGGGUGCCAAGCACUAGGUCCCACACUGAGGAUACAAUGGUCAGCAUGUAGAUCAGUGAACACAUAUGUCAGAAAAUAUCAUGUAGCUAUAGUUCGAUGGAGUGAAAGAAAAUAGAAUGAUGUGUUAGAGAUUGGGGGUCCACUAGGACGAGGUGGCUAACCAAAGCCUCCUUUAGGUGCUGGCAUUUAAAUCUAGAUUAGAAUAAGACCAGUACAUGAAGUUAGGGUUGAGGAGACCAUCAAAGCAGAGAGAAUAUCUCCUAAGACAGGCAGGUGCAUGCAUACAGAAAUUGAAUCAUCUCAAUUCAAAACAAAUUCUUGGCCAUUAGGAUUAUUUUUCAAAACUUGAUCUGAAAAGAAGGUUGAUCAAAUCCUUUCUGACUCUAAACCAUAGAAACAGAUGUUUACUCUCAAACAUAAGAAGAUAAAUGCAAAUUAAAACUACAAUGUGAUGUAUUAUUAGCAUUUUAGGAAAAAAACCAAGUCUACUGCUCUGGGCUUGGAAUGGCCUUACAAUUAUAAAUUUUUAACCUUUCAAAUGGUACUGUAUUAUAUGAAACAACAUUACAAGUGAACAUUUCAGUUCAAAAAUAAACAUAAAAAUUAAAAAAAAAAAAACCCUACAAUGUGAAGCCAUGCCAGACAUAGUGUUAUAUGCC